CGUUUUUGUGUCUUAACUUUUAUUAUUUCAUUUCCUUUUAAAGAAUAAUUGUAUAUUCUGAUAACUUGAUGGAAAUUUGUUAAUUAAAUCAUCAUCAUCAUAAGUGGUUGGUUGGACAAUCCGUUGUAGAUCUUGGCCUGCUGGCAAAGAAGUCACCACUCCUGUCGAUUCCUGGAAACUUCCCUCCAUCUUCUGACCCCUAGAUCCUUGAAUAUUAAAUCUACAAUAAUGGUAGGGUGCUCAGUAAAAGAAGUAUGAGUCUAAUGCCCGUAUUUAUAAACGAGUCUCAAGACCUCGUCGAGUCUUGAGACCGACCUUGAAUAAAAGUUGUAUUUAGUUUACACACAAAUUUUAUUCAAGGUCGGUCUCGAGACCCGACGAGGUCUCGAGACUCGACUAUAAAUACGGGCCUAAUUUAGUCAACUUUCCAGGAAAAGCAAAAAACGAUAAUUAAUUAGCAUAUCUACUACCAAUUUUAUCCAAGACCAAAUAAUUUUAUUUAUUUUAUAUUACCAUAUUGACUUGUUCUAAUGAUAUCAAGGUAAAGAUAUAGUCCUUUUUAGUGUUUUUCCGCACAAAUAAGAUUUUGACCAUUUUUGAUACUCUUACUCUUACUUAUACUCUUACUUAUACUCUUUUUACUGAGAACCCUACAGUCGGAAAAAUGAAAGAAUAUCGCUUUUCAUCGAUUGUCAUUUGUUUCAAGUUUCUGUCGUAUGUUGUAUAAUCUGUGUAUAAUAUUAAUAUACACGGAUUAUACAACAUAUGACGGAAGCUCGAAACAAAUGACUGUGAAUGAAAAGCCCUAUACGCUCUGAGUUUCGCUGGUGUCGCUCCUAGCGGAUUACUAAUGCAACUUUCACCGUUUGUAGUUCGAUUUCCACCAUACCCUUGCGAGUUAAACCCUAUUGAACAUAACAGAAGGCAACAUAAAAGUGGUUUUGGUCAUAAGGAAAGGAAAUGAAGAAACUUUUAUCUGAAAAAGAGGUUUCUAUUAAAUGAAACUGGUUAUGAAGAUGGAAAACUGGAUCCAGUUUCACCAGGAAUUGAGCAUGUUCGAUUGUCGCCAUACUAUUGUGAACUAAUUCCAAUUGAACUUAUAUGGGCUCAAACAAAAAAAUUAAGUAGCAAGGAUAAAAUGUAUUGAGCAUGCAGUGAAAUAGGAGCAAAAUAUGUGGAGGCUUGAUAACUACAUUGAAACCGUGGAACUGGUACAAUGGAACCAGUAGUUGUGGAGCUAGGUGAGGAUACGACUGAUGAACCUGAAGAUAACAUAGAUGACUCAGAUUAGACUAUAAUAUUUUUUGGACCAAUUAAUGGAGAGUCGACAUUGUGUAUGAACAACUCUUGCUACAGCUAAGAGACCUCAACUCAAACAAGAUGACGUAGCAGUAAUGUCCAGAUGAAGAGAUACAAAGAGAUUUUCAGACUCGAGAGUUAGUUGGGACUCACAACAAAAUAAUCAAUUUAGUAGACAAAGCUGAUCGUAGUGCCAUAAUAAAAAAGGUGAAAAUGAAAAAAGAAUAUCAUUUUAUAAACUUCUCAAUACACUUAAUUUUAAGUAUCAAAAACGAGAAAUACAGGGCAUGUUAGAAAAAAAUGAGAUUGUUUUGUGGAGAGAAAUAUUUAAAGAAAAUUAUAUCUAAGCGAAAUGAUGGUCAUAAAAUUUAUUACCUGGAUGAGACGUGGGACACUGGACAUACAAAAUCUAAAUUUUGGACCCAUAAGUCUACUGUUUCUUCAAGCAAGUGUGUCUGGAUGGUUUGUCCACUUGAUUUAAAAAAACUCUUAUCAGAUAAGAAAGAAGCAGACAACUGUAUCUCAGAAACGUCCAGUCUUCACCAUGAGCUCCAUAUAAUUGCACUUCAAAUACUGAAUUUAUAUUGUGUCAAAAAGUAAUUAAAAAUGUAUUAUUUUUCAGUUGUAAGAUUAAUUUUGUGUAUAACUUUUUCGGUUUUCUAAUAAAAUGUUAAAUGAA